GCCGCCGCCUCGGGCCGCCGCGCGCGGCCCCUCCUCCUCUCCUCCCGCCGCCGCCUCGGCCGCUUCUUCCGCUUUUUUUUUUUUUUAAUUUAGAUGUGAUGUUUGUUUCGAGCUCUCGCCUUGCGCACGGUUAAAGUCGCGGCGGCAGAAUUAUCGGAAGAUUCCUGCAGGGGAAAGAAGAGAGAGACGAGUCAGCUCCGGCGCCGGCGGAGCCCCGGCUCUCGGCACCUGGGGAAGGAAAACACGCCCCAACACACGCGCCUCUGCGGGCGCCAAAAAUAACCCGCGCGGGCCGGGCGCCCACCCCGGGGCAACCCGCGCCCACCUCAGGGGCCCCAGGCACCCACCCCGAGAGCUGCUGCAACUGUCAGUCACCCACCCGGAACCCCGAGGGGCAACUACCAAGUAGGCCUCGGGGCCCGGAACAAGGGUCCCGGGGCUCAGGAUCUCGGCCGCUGCGCCUCACUCCUGCCCCAGCCCCGCGCACGGAACUCGUUUCCUUCCCACCCAGUUCGGGACACUCCUCUCUGACUUCCCCAGAUCUCACUUGCAGCGCUACAGCCAGUCCCUCUUCUGGUUCUCACGCACCCACUUAAGGCGGAGUGACUGGCCUAAAAGUCCAAGCUGAUCGUGUGGCUUCCGUUCGUAAAUAUCUCCCCUGGAUCUCCCUCCCUGGAGCCAGACAAGACUCAAAACUCCGAAGGGAAUGCAGUCCCCGCAGGGCGCAAAGGAGAAACUAAUAGUCCAGAGGCGGGGUGAACUUAAAGACCUGGCUUUCAUUAGCGUGGUGUUGUAACAGACUGCCAAGGAGCCUCUGAGGAAAUGGAUUUACGUACAUAUACAUACUCGCCCUUGCCCCUGAAGCAACAUCAAAUACUUUCAUGUUAUUCUUGGGGGCGUUUUAAUUCUUCCGAUCCUCUGAAUUCGUGUUUUUGUACAUCUCUUUCCAACCUGGGCCUACACACUAACAGAAAUAGUUUUUUACAUCGAAGGACAAUGCUUAGUGUUUUAUUCAGUCUCAGCUCUUUUCUUUCUUUUUUCUCGUUGUGUUUCAAAAUGUUUAUUUUUUCUGUCUUGUGAUAGUUUUGGAGGAAAAAUAUUGAAAUAAUUCAAAUCAGGCUCUUAACUCUGCUUUAUUAAAUUUAUAGUCAUAGUAGCCUGUGAGUAUGCUUCGGGGGAGGAAAAAAGAAUGCUGGGGUCUUUAUUCUUCAAGUUCUCUAAGUUUGAUAUUUUGAAUAAACACCCAGAGGUGUCUCUGCCUUUUGUGUGUUAGUAUCUAAUCUUUCCUGCAUUUACGAGUCACUAGUAAAAUGCUAUGAAAGCCAUAGAUCCCAUGGCUCUCACUGUGAUUUUCCUGGGCUGAGUAGGGACUUAGUGAUGUUUAACCCCCAGUAUGCUUUUUAUAGAAGCACCAGCUGAUUCACCAGUGCCCUCCAAAGUGAGCACCUAUCCAUCUCACUCUGGACUCCCAACAGGUCAUACCAGGGAGCUUCGUUGAAAUAGACUUGGCAUUUAAAUUAAAAUGUUUCCCAAAGCAUCUUGGCAGACCUGUAACUAAUGAUGCCAGAGGCCCAAGGCCUGUGCCAGGUUCCCUUUUAUUCCCAUAAGUGCUUGUCUCCCACAAGCCACUGGUCACACGCCUGCUGAUGUUAUAGAAGCACUUCUUCAUCCCACAAACAGCCCAACUGUAGGUACCCUAUCUCAGACAUGGUGAAGGGAAGCAGCAUGUUCCUCUGACAUGUGCGAUGCUUGGCUCCCAACAGGCUUUUUAUAAUAAGCUAAACUCAGAUUUUUUCAUCACAAAUAGCGU
rnacentral:lncRNA from 1 species